UGAUGAUAAUGAUGAUGAUGAUAAUGAUGAUGAUGAUAAUAAUAAUAAUAAUAACAGUAAUGCAUUAUUAAUAUUAUCAUUAUUAAAUAUGUUCACUAAUUUCAAUGAGAACAAAUAUUUAUCAUCAUGUUCAAAGUGAUUGUGUUGGCCAGCACCCCCACCACCUCAUUUACCCAGUGACCUCAGAUCUUGAUGUUGCAGGUGGCGUAGGAUCACUCCUGAGCUGGGUCUUUGUGUUGGCAAAGACAGUUCAGUCUUCACUAGGUGAAUUGCCACACUCUUGAAUCUUCUGAAUUUUCCACCAUCUGGCUUCAACCACAGAGUCAUUCAAACUAAAUUUAUCUGUGCUGUAUACCUCUCAUCUAACUUCUCUGACUAUAAGAAAUUCUUUGACUAACUUCCAAAGUGGAGCACAUUCUGACUCUCUUCCCUUUUGCAGAGAUCUCCAUUCUUGGAGACUUCAAUGUUCACCACCAGCUUUGGCUUUCCUCUCCUUUCACUGACCAUCCUGGUGAACUAGCCUUCAACUUUACCAUUCUCCACGACCUAGAGCAACAUCCUACUUGUAUUCCUGACUGUCUUGGAGAUAUGCCCAACAUUCUUGACCUUUUCCUGACUUCUAAUCCAUCUGCUUAUGCUGUUACCCUAUCUUUUCUGUUGGGCUCCUCUGAUCACAAUCUCACUUCUGUAUCUCAUCCUAUUGCUCCAAUCCCUCCUCAGGAUCCCCCUAAGCAGAGGUGCCUCUGACAUUUUGCUUCUGCUAGUUAGGGGGCCUGAGGAGGUGUUUUGAUGAUUUUCCUUGGAAUGACUACUGCUUCCAUGUCACAGACUGUCUCUGUGUGCUGAGUACAUAACAGAGGUGAUAGUAUCUGGCAUGAAAGCGUACAUUCCUCUCUCUUUUUCUCGACCUAAACCUUCCAAACCUUGGUUUAACACAGCCUGUUCUUGUGCUAUACAUGAUAGAGAGAUGGGUAACAAAAGGUACUUGAGCCUUCCAUCACCAGAAUCUCAUGCACUUUAUAUUUCUGCCUGGAACCAUGCAAAGUCUUUUCUCCAACAAGCCAAAAACUCCUUCGUAAAUAGAAAGUGUCAAAAUUUUUCAAGAUCUAACUCCCCUCAUGACUUCUGGCACCUAACCAAACACAUCUCCUAUAACUUUGUUUCUUCAUCUUUCUCUCUUUUAUUUCAACCAGAUGGCACCACUCUGAUCUCAUCUAUUUCUAAAGCUGAACUAUUUCCUCAAACCUUUGCUAAAAACUCUACCUUGAAUGAUUCAGUGCCUGUUCCUCCCUCUCCUCCACCUUCUGACUACUUUGUGUUACCUAUUAAAAUUCUUCACAACGAUGUUUUCCAUGCCUUCACUGGCCUAAACCCUCAGAAGGCUUAUGGACCUGAUGGGGUCCCUCCUAUUGUUCUCUGAAACCGUGCCUCCGUGCUUGCACCUUGACUAGUCAAACUCUUUCAACUCCAUCUGUCAACAUCUACCUCUCCUUCUUGCUGGAAGUUUGCCUACAUUCAGCAUGUUCCUAAAAAGGGUGACCGUUCUAAUCCCUCAAACUACCAUCCUAUUGCUUUAAUUUCCUGCCUAUCUAAAAUUUUUUAAUCUUUCCUCAACAGGAAGAUUCUUAAACAUCUUUCACUUCACAACUUUCUAUCUGAUCGCCAGUAUUGGUUCUGUCAAGGCUGCUCUACUUCUUCUGGCUUUUCUUAUUGAGUCUUGGUCAUCUCUUUUAGAGAUUUUAGAGAAACUUUUGCUGUUGCCUUAGACAUAUCAAAAGCUUUUGAUAGAGUCUGACACAAAGCUUUGAUUUCCAAACUGCCCUCCUACGGCUUCUAUCCUUUUCUCAGCAACUUCAUCUUAAGUUUCCUUCCUGACCGUUCUGUUGCUGCUGAUGGUCACUGUUCUUCUAAAUCUAUUAACAGUGGUGUUCCUCAGGGUUCUGUCCUAUCACAUAUUCUCUUCCUAUUAUUCAUCAAUGAUCUUCUAAACCAAACUUCUCGUCCUAUCCACUCGUAUGAUGAUGAUACCACCCUGCACUUUUACACGUCUUUUCAUAGAUGUCCAACCCUUCAGGAAGUAAACAGGUCACAAAAGGAAACCACAGAACACCUGUCGUCUGAUUUCUCUGAAAUUUCUGAUUGUGACAGAGCAAACUUAGUAUUGUUCAAUGCCUCAAAAACUCAAUUCUUCCAUCUACCAACUCAACACAACCUUCCAGACAAAUAUCCCAUCUUCGUCAAUGGCACAUAACUGUUCCCCUCUCCUACAUUGAACAUCCUCGGUCUGUCCUUUUCUUAUAAUCUAGACUGGAAUCUUCACAUCUCAUCCCUAGCUAAAACAGCCUCUAUGAAGUUAGGCGUUCUGAGACAUAGCCAGUUUUUCUCACCCUUCCAGCUGCUCUGUACAGAGGCCCUAUCCAUCCAUGUAUGGAUUAUGCCUUUCUAUGGAUUAUGCUCUUCUAGACAGGGUUGAAUCAAAAGCUUUUUGUCUCAUCAACUCCUCAAUAACUGACUGUCUUCAGCCUCUUACUCACUGCUGCAAUGUUGCAUCUCUUGCUAUCUUCUAUCACCAUUUUCAUGCUAACUGUUCUUCUCAUCUUGCUAGCUGCAUGCCUCCCCUCCUACUGCAGCCUUGCUGCACAAGACCUUCUUUUUCUCACUCCUACUCUGUCCACCUCUCUAAUGCAAGAGUUAACCAGUAAUCUUAUCAUUCAUCCCUGUCUCUGGUAAACUCUGGAACUCCCUACCUGCUUCUGUAUUUCCACCUUCCUGUGACUUGAACUCCUUCAAGAGGGAAGUUUCAACACACUUAUCCUUCAAUUUUUUAUCACCGCUUUGGACCCUGUUUGGGGACUUGCAUCUCGGUGGGUUUUUUUUUAAAUUGGGUUUUUGUUGCCAUUGGCCCGUGUCCCUCUUACAUGAAAAAAGUUCAACAAAGGACUGUUGUUAAGACACUGCACGUGAGGUGGCCCCCAGUUUGGAAGUAUUGUAAAUGAAUGUUGCGAUGAAAUAGAAUGGGUCUUUGAGACAACAACAAAUAAGAUGAAUGAUGAUAGUAAUAAUAAUGACAGUGAUACUAAUACUACUAAUAUUGAUAGUAAUAAUACUACCUAAUAAUUAUAGUGACAAUAAUAAUAACAAUGACAACAUAAUGUUAGUGCUCACUUUGUUCAUUAUCUAGCUUGUAGGAAUUUUGGGUCAGCAGUCUUCACUUACCUCAAGACUCACAGGUCAACCAAGUGUUCCACCAUGGAGGGCAUGUCACUCACACCAGUUCUUCAGAAUUGUUGUGCUUUAACACAGUCUGUGAUGUAGCGGCAAGAAGUGUGUUUGUUGUUCUCAAUACACAGCCUGCACUCACUGCUUUCACACAUCAGAGCUUGCUGUUGGCCCAAAUGAAAUUAUAGGGGCAUAGGAUGGGAUUAUCCCUUAAUGAAGCCAACAGGUUGAUAAUGUCAUAAUUAAUGUAGCCAAGGCCAGAGGCAGAGCCAGAGCCAGCCAUUCCAGUUCAUCAGCGUGGAGCAGAGCAGCCAGCCUGCCAACCUUCCACAACAGUGUCUGGGCACUAAGCAGAACUGAGUGUGGCCCUUCAGGUGGCCUGAUUCCUGUAUGAGUAACUUUUUUGUGGGGCCAGCCUGUUCAGGCCACUGGACAGGCCAGCCAGAGCAUGCAUGCUGGCCUCAAGGCUUAGUUUGGAGGGAGUCUAACGAAAAAAAAAAAAAACAACUUUGGAGUGGUAGAAUCGCGACACCUUGACCACAUAUGUAACACAAACUACUUUUGAUAAACAAGCAUAAUCCCUGACUCUCAUAGGACUCUGUGGGCUCUCUUCUCUCUCCUCCUCUUGCCUCCUUAAAACUUCAUUUCUUCUAUAAAUAAUGUCCACAAUGUCAAGUACAGGGUCAUCAGUGAGCUCUUAUGCUAAGAAGAGUGCUGUGGGCGGCCAUUUUUGCUGCUUCCUGCUGAUGGACUGCCCCAAACAAACGGGGGUGCAGGGUUAGAGAGAAACUUCCCGUAUAAUGCACCCCUGGUCACCCCUUGGUGACCUUGUGUGACCUGCCCUGUGACCUUGUGAGCAGCGACAGCACCACAGCCAUAACCUGUGUGGCACCAGCCCUGCCCCACAGUGAGGCGGAUGUGACAUGUGAUGUGGUGGUGAGCAGCCCGAAUGGUUUGUCUGCCAGUCUGCUGGGUGGCUUCACUUACCAACUGGCUCUCACACUCUCCCUCACUGGCCUGGAGCCCCAGCGAGGUGGCACUGCUGGCGGCACCUCCCUCACCCUCACUGGCACUGGCUUUGGGUUGAGCGGCAAUAAGGUGACCAUUGGUGGGUCAGAGUGCAAGGUGACCCAAGAGGGUCCGACCAGCAUCACCUGCAUCACUGAGGCUCACCAAGGGUCGGGUCAAUUCCAGGUCAAGGUCACUGCCCCUGGGAAAGGCUUGGCAGCAGCUCAGAACAAUAGUGGAAUCUUUUCCUACAUCGACCUCUGGAGUUCACCAUUCACUUGGGGCAGCGAACCGCCACCAUCACAGGGGCAGCUGGUGGUGGUGACUCAGGGCAAGACACUGCUGCUGGACCAGUCAACACCAGUGCUGAAGAUGUUGCUGAUCCAGGGCGGCCACAUGGUGUUUGAUGUGGAGAUUGUGGAGGAGCUGGUGUUGCGGGCAGAGUAUAUUUUGAUCGUUGGUGGUGGCUCUCUCAGUAUUGGGUCGGAGGAUCAGCCUUUCCCUGGUGAGGCCGUCAUUGAACUGCACAGCAACACACACUCCACUGAGCUGCCCUUGUAUGGUGCCAAGGUAUUGGCGGUGCGUGAUGGGACGCUGGACCUUCAUGGCCGUCACGUCCCCAUCACCUGGACCCACCUGGCACACACGGCCUCCCUUGGGGACACCAACCUCACCCUGUCCCUGCCCGUCACCUUGAGGCAGGGUGACCAGGUUGUUAUUGCCACCACAGAGAAUAGGUUCUACAUGAAGGAGAACGAGGUGAGGACCAUCGCAUCAGUCUCUGAGGACGGCCUGGAGGUCACACUGACAGAGGCACUGGAGCACACCCACCUCUCCGUCACCCAGACUCUUGGGGGACACACAGUGGAGACACGUGCAGAGGUGGGACUCCUCACCCACAAUGUCAAGAUCCAGGGAAAUGUUGGCACCGACUUCAGUGUGGCUAUUGAGGGCUGUGACACUGCUUUUAGGCCUGACCAGCACGCCACCCAGUCAUGUUUCAAUGGUCGACAUGGAGACGAGAUUGGCGGUGACCAAUUUGGCGCCACCGUGAUACUGUCUGGAAAGUUCCCUGACCUGGACUUGGUGAUGGGACGCAUUGAGUACGUGGAGGUGACCAAAGCUGGUCAGGCAUUCCAACUUGGGCGGUACCCACUCCACUUCCACCUGGCUGGGGACAUGGGUGGUUCGUACAUCCGCGGGUGCUCCAUCCACCACACCUACAACCGCGCAGUGACAAUGCACGCAACAAACAACCUGCUGGUGGAGCAUAAUGUGGCGUACAACAACAUGGGUCACGCUAUCUUCACAGAGGAUGGGGUGGAGCAGAACAAUGUGGUGCAGUACAACCUUGCAGUCUACACCAGGACCUCCUCUUCCCUUCUUAAUGUGGAUGUGACACGCUCCUCAUUCUGGGUGGUGAACCCAAACAACAUUUUCCGUCACAAUGCAGCUGCCAGUGGAACACACUUUGGUUACUGGUACAGGCUGGACCACCACCCCUCGGGCCCAUCCACCACCAACAUCUACUGCCAGAACACUGAACAGAUGGGACUCUUCUUCAAUAACACUGCACAUUCCAUGGGAAGGUAUGGUCUGUGGGUGUUCUCCAAUCCAGGAUAUCACCCAAAGUCCGACAUCUGUGGAGGCAGGGAUGUGGUGGCCAAGUGGGAAAGCUUCACCGCGUGGCACUGUGAGCGGGGUGCCGAGGCAGUAUCUGGCACUAAGCUGCAGUUCCACAACUUUGUGAUGCUUGAUAACCAACAGGCUGGCAUGGAGAUGGUGUCUGUGAAGGGAGGGUUCGGACAGGAUGACAGCCCUGGCAUCUUCAAUUCCCUGGUGGUGUGUCACUCGGCCCUCAACUCCAGUGCCUGCACCUCAGGAACCAGUGGUAUUGUGGCGCCCAAGACCCAGAUCUUUAGUAUCUCCAAUGUCACAUUUGUUAACUUUGAUGAGGGUGGAAGUGCUGCACUGUCUGGCUGUUCUCAGUGCAGGAACUACCAGGGAGGCUACAGGGCACAGGUUAAGGGUCUGGCCUUUGAGAAUUCACCCAACAAGAUCAGGUUUCAGUGGGAACACGAGACAAUCUGGAUAGACGCUGAUGGCUCUCUGACGGGCGAACCGGAGGCGAAUGUUGUUCCCACAAUGGGCAUCUUACCAACUGAUUCCUGCACUCAAGAAGCAGCAUUCUCUGUCACCAAGAAUGUGCCAGGAUCAGUUUGCCGAGGGGCCAUGAAAUUCCUGCGAGUGGCCGUCACCAAUCCGAGCCCUUCCUCACUGCUUGGCAAGGACCUGGUGGUAAGCAACGACUUCGGCGCCACCCACAUCCCUUACCUCAUGUUCCGUAUUGGUGGUGCUGGCUGGAUGGGGCUUGUCUACACUGGUGCCACCUUUGACUUCAACUUUGAAAAUGCUAAUCAGUUCGUCAACAUGUCAUACAAGACUAACACAAAAUUCAUGACAAGAAAUGACUACUAUUUUGUGAAACACACACUCACCCAGACACCUGACAGAAUUGAGACGACCAAGGGUGAGAGGGAGAGCCUGGAGUCCCUGCCUGACCUCACCACAAACAUUCAUGGGGACUUCUACUGGGACACAGACUCAAAGGAACUCACAUACAUGGUGUCGCACAGUAAAAAGACUACAAAAAGGCAUGGCAACAUGGUCUUUGAUGACCGAGUUCCUGGUCAAUCAAGGCAGAUCAGUUUCAGUGUGUAUAAGUGUCAGCACAAAGGAUGUUCUGCGCCUGACCCUAGACCAGUCCCCACAACACAUCCAGAUGCACCUUUCCGCUGGUCUGAUGUGGAGACGUGGAAGCAUAUGCCAGUCAGUACUGGUGGCCACCCAACAGAGGCAGAAUACAGCCUGCCCGUGGAGGGAGAUGAGAUUGUGAUUCCUGAGAGCAUGUGGCUCGUUGUGGACACGGCCACACUCAAGCUUGGCCGUGUCUUUGUGUAUGGCACCAUUGAGUUUGAUGACACGAUGGACCACAGAUUUGAGGCCACCAUUAUUUACAUCCAGGGAGGCUCUUUAGUGGCUGGCUACUCCUCAGACACUCCCUUCACCCACAGUCUCAUCAUUCGCCUGAUGGACCCUGAAGAUGUUGAUGCCUAUAGCAUGAACCUGGGCUGGAAAACUAUAGGUGUGUUUGGCUAUCUCAGGCUGCAUGGGCAGGUGUGCAGGAGAUCAUGGCACAAGCUUGGGGCCACAGUGGAGGUUGGGACCGGCCACAUAACUCUGGCCGAGGAUCCUGAUGCUUCCUGGCUCAAUAAAGAGGUGGGUGUGACAACAACAGGAAAAGAGGCAACAGAGAGCGAAGUGAGGCGAGUGGUAGCAAUCAAUGGUGCCACACUCACCCUAGACUCAGCACUCAAAUUCCAGCACCUUGGGGAGAUACACACGCUGUCAGACGGCACUUCCAUCACACUGGCUGGGGAGGUCGGUCUCCUGAGCCGGAACAUUGCGGUGGAAGGAAUCACGGAGAACAGCAACGGGGGAAGAAUUCUGGUCUCCACAGUCUUCCAGAAUGGCAAGCAUUAUGUUGGUUCGGCCCAAGUGGAUGGCGUGGAGUUCCGUAACAUGGGGCAGGAAGGCUUCACCGACAUCACUGACCCACGCUACUCCAUUGCCUUCCUGGGCCUUGAUGCCAUUGGUGACCAUUCUAGCUACGUCAAGAGGUCAUCAUUCAAUGUCAACUAUAAUGUGGCUGUUGGGCUCAUCAAGACCUUGAACAUGGUAGUGGAGGAGAACGUUAUCUAUCAUGAGCUGGAUUCAGGCAUAAGACACGAGACAGGCUCCAACACCUACAGGUGGAACCUCAUCACAACUGUGUUCUUCCUGGGGACUUAUGAAGACAGACAGGAAACAGAGAACUUGAAUUGGAGUGGUGCCUUUCAGCUGGACAAUGCACCCAACACUGUACUGACUGGCAAUGUUGUUGCUGGUGCAGAACAGGCUGGCUACAAGACCCUUGGAGAGCUGUGCGAGGACACAACUUGGUGGAUGGGGAAUGAAGUGCACAAUGCAAUUUAUGGAGUCAUGCUAUGGAAGAAGGGAGGCACGGGGCCACUGACAGACUGCUGCAGACUCAACAACUUCUACACCUGGAGAAUCUCAGACACAGGCUUCUAUGUCCAGCACUAUGCCAGCUCCCUCAUCACUAAUGUUGUCUCUGUGGACAGUCCCCUGGGAGCAAUGCAGAUCAUCUAUGAGCCAGAUUCACUGAGUCACAAGUUCCACCCCAAGACAGCCAAUGCCAGUCACUCCCUGUUUGUGGGUGUCUCCCCAUCACACACUUGUGAAUACCAGGCAUCCAAGUCCCGGAUAAUGAAGUUCUAUGGAGAUAAAUUUUUUGGCGGAGGCGUCGGCGGAGGAAACACUGGCAUCCUCUUAGCAUCAUUCACCUCUGGAUCUAAUAAGUUGUAGGGCUGGGCAGGAUUCUAUAAAACAGACAGAAUCCUGACGGAUCCCAGAUUGAGGCAGCUGACAAGUUUCCGAAUAAAGGCAUUGUCCGUGAUGCUUCCUGUGCUGUGGUUCCAUCGUGGCAGGCAUGGAAGUGCUUCUCGCUGCGUUGCCGCCUCAUGAUCAUUGAGAGCAUAGACACAGACACAGAGGUGCGGCGCCUCUCCCCCAUCGCCCUCAUUGCCAACCCUGGCCCCAGUGGGUACGUGGACCUCCUCCUUCUCUUCCUCCUAUACACGCCAUGGUUCAGACAUAUUUUUGUACAUGCGUUUAUCUUAUAUUAUUUUAUUUUACUUUAUUUUUUUGUUUAAUUUCUAUCCAGGCUCGUGUACUCGAUGCCUCAGCUCACGAGGUUCACAUUCACGCGCACGAGGCGGAGUGAGGUAGAGGUUCAUGAAGCUUCGAGUCAUUUUGUACUGGAAUGCGCCGUUAGUUUCAGUUAUGAGUCAUUAUUGCAGUAAUAUUGCACGUAGCUUCCUUCAUCUGAAUAUAUGCACAGUUUCUUCUCAUUCCUGUGGUGUUUUCAGAAUCGUUAUAUUCAUUCUUUCUUUCACUAAUUCUUUCAUUCAUUUGUUCUUUUUAUAUAUAUUUUUUUUCAAUAUUCUGUACGUUCAUAUAUUAUUUCAUUCUUUCUUUUGCUCGUUCGUUCGUUCAUUCAUUCAUUUAUUUAUUAUUUCGUUUGUUCAUUCACUGAUUCAUUCGUUGGCUUUCUUUUCAUUAUUUCUUACGUUCGUUCACUAUUUCAUUCUUUCGUUCGUUCGUUCAUGCAUUUAUUCUUUCAUUCAUUCACUGUGGCACAUUAAAAUCAGUAGAUCCUUUUGUUCGUUCGUUCAUUCAAUCUUUUCCUUUCUUUCAUAUAUUAUUUCAUUUACUCGUUUCUUUGCCGUAGUUUAUGUCAGCAUUAUAAUGAUGCAGUAAAGAAAGACUGGUAAAAAAAAAAAUAGAUUCUCGUAAUAAAAGAAUUUUCUCAAUUUAUGUGUUGAUGCCCCGCUACAUUAGAAAAUAAAACAAUAAAAAAAAGGAAAACAAAAGCUGGAGUGAAAGGAAAUUAGACA